rnacentral:rRNA from 1 species
AGUCAUAUGCUUGUCUCAAAGAUUAAGCCAUGCAUGUCUAAGUUCACACCCUCGUACGGUGAAACCGCGAAUGGCUCAUUAAAUCAGUCGAGGUUCCUUAGAUGAUCCAAUUCUACUUGGAUAACUGUGGUAAUUCUAGAGCUAAUACAUGCUGCGCCGCUCCGACCCUCCCGGGAAAGAGCGCUUUUAUUAGUUCAAAACCAGUCGGGGCAACCCGUCCUUUGGUGACUCUGGAUAACUUUGUGCCGAUCGCAUGGCCACGAGCCGGCGACACAUCUUUCAAAUGUCUGCCCUAUCAAAUGUCGAUGGUCGGUGAUCUGCCUACCAUGUUGUCUACGGGUAGCGGGGAAUCGGGGUUCGAUUCCGGAGAGGGAGCAUGAGAAACGGCUACCACAUCCAAGGAAGGCAGCAGGCGCGCAACUUACCCACUCCUGGCACGGGGAGGUAGUGACGAAAAAUAACAAUACGGAACUCGAAAGAGGCUUCGUAAUUGGAAUGAGUACACUUUAAACCCUUUAACGAGGAUCUAUUGGAGGGCAAGUCUGGUGCCAGCAGCCGCGGUAAUUCCAGCUCCAAUAGCGUAUACUAAAGUUGUUGCGAUUAAAAAGCUCGUAGUUGGAUCUCAGGCAUGGGCGCGCGGUCCGUCUCGCGACGGUUACUGCGUGAAUUGUUGUACCCAUCCUAGGCUUCCCGGUUGUUUAGCCCAUGGUGCUCUUGACUGAGCGUUUUGGGUGGCCGGAACGUUUACUUUGAAGAAAUUAGAGUGUUCAAGGCAGGCUUGCGGCCUGAAUAAUGUUGCAUGGAAUAAUGGAAUAGGACCUCGGUUCUAUUUUGCUGGUUUUCGGAAGACGAGGUAAUGAUUAAGAGGGACAGACGGGGGCAUCCGUAUUGCGGUGUUAGAGGUGAAAUUCUUGGAUCAUCGCAAGACGAACAACUGCGAAAGCAUUUGCCAAGAAUGUUUUCAUUAGUCAAGAACGAAAGUC